AGGACGAACGCUGGCGGCGCGCUUAACACAUGCAAGUCGAACGGGGUCCUUCGGGGCUCAGUGGCGAACGGGUGCGUAACACGUGAGCAAUCUGCCUUUUGUUGGGGGAUAACCUCGGGAAACCGGGGCUAAUACCGCAUACGCUCUUUUGGUCAGAAGACUGGGGGAGGAAAGGGGCUUAAGGCCUCGACGGAAGAGGGGCUCGCGGCGUAUCAGCUAGUUGGUGAGGUAACGGCUCACCAAGGCGAUGACGC
rnacentral:rRNA from 1 species